UCACUUUUAUUUACAAAUUUAUCACUCUUUACUCAAUUAAAUAAAGUUUUUUGAAUAAUCAUAUAAGAUAUAAAUCUUCUCACCUAAAAAAAAAAAGAUAUAAAUUAUUUGGUGGCUUGGCCCUUGGGCAGGUCUUGAAUCUACAUUAUUUGGUGGCUACAGAUAACCAAGCUUAUUACAUUGACCCAAUCAACUACAUGAUGGUGACCUAAAAGAUCAACAAAUUUUCUGUAUAGCUGCAAAGUAUAACCAAGCUGCACUAUUUGGUGACUAUGGAUUCUUUCCAAUUUCCUUUUUCUCCCACAAGGUUUUAAAUCAUAUUCACGUAACUAUCAUGAUUCUAUCGCAAUCUGUGAUACUAUACUGCAGAGUAUCACAUCAAAUGUGGUUGAUACAGACUCAAUGUGUUGUAGUUGUGGUAACUUUAAAACCAAUAAUGCCACAUUCAAGAUUACAGUUACAAACCUUAUUCUUAAACAGUGCGAUUGACGUCGUGUUAGCCACAUGGACACCCUCAAGAAAAAUCACCAUCACCACUCUCCCUGAAAAUCUCAGUCUACUAGCAAUACCAAUCAAGAAUAUAUGGCAAUAAAAUACUUGGACUUUAUAACACAAUUUCAAAAACAAACACAAUUGUUCUAUCUAAAGAACCACACAGAUCAUGUAAUGUAAACACCGGCAGCGGAGGAAUUGUCAAUGAUUGCAAUGAUUUAAAUAUAACUAAUUCAUAUUGAAAUAAACUUCUUAAUUACAUAUUUAAUAGAUUCUGCAAUAUCUUUUUAAUAACUCAAAAGCAUUUAAACUUAGUCUUGAAUAGUCAACUCUCCACAGUCUGCACAACACUUAUGAAUAAACCUAUAAACUUAACAAGAUUAGGAUCUAGAAGUUUCCAAGAUUGUUUAUUUCAUCCUAGUAGCCAAAAUAUUUCUUCCUGCAAUCCAUAUAAUAUUUCAUCCUGCAAGGCACAAUAAAAAACAAGAACAAAAUAUACUAGUAAGCAAGCAAUCAAUUUUGAACACAUUAAAAUAACAAUGCCAAUUAUGAAAUUAAAGGAGGAAACAAUGUGGAACAAGUGAUUAGACCAAGUUAUUUUACCCCAAUUAUGACUGCAAUUAUCCUCAAUAUCAAAAAAAUCACGAUGCAAUUGCAAUAUUUAAAACAAAUAGUAUUUCAGAAUUUUGAAAACAUUAUUAUGAGAGAAAUUGAACAUAUAUUUAUGAGAUGAUGGGAUACUGAACCUGAUAUUGGGGAUAAAACUGUUCUUGAAAUCGAGAAAUUAGCAGUUUUUGAAGCUUCGAGGCUUGCAUUUUGGUUGCUUUGAUUGUUCCUUUUAAUGCUUCCAUUGAUUUGCAAUGGUUGAGAAAUUAAACGGAUGGUGCGAAGGUUGUUCAGAGAUAUUGAAGCCACAAUUGAGGGUUUAUGGUUUCACAAGCAAUAUAGUUAUAAUAUUUCAAUUUAUAAAGUGUAAACCGCUUUAAAACCUGAAACUUGGCCACGAAAUAAGUGUAAGCAGCUUUCGAAACCUGAAACUUCUUGGCCAAGAAAUACAUCAACAAAAAGAAAAACUUCUUCGCCAAGAAAAUAAAGUAUAUCUUAUGUUUUUCAGAAUACGUGUCUGCAUCAUUGCAUGCCAAAGAAUUAGCUAAUUAGAAAGGCAUAUUGUUAAUAGCGAUUAAACAGACAAUUAUGGAUGAAAUUGGGUUCAAACGCAUUUUUUCAAACGUUUCUAAAUAGCGAAUUUUAUGUUAAGUUCUUAAGAUUUGUUAAUUUUAG
rnacentral:lncRNA from 1 species